rnacentral:rRNA from 1 species
UUGGAGGGCAAGUCUGGUGCCAGCAGCCGCGGUAAUUCCAGCUCCAAUAGCGUAUAUUAAAGUUGUUGUGGUUAAAAAGCUCGUAGUUGAACCUUGGGCCUGGCUGGCCGGUCCGCCUCACCGCGUGUACUGGUCCGGCCGGGCCUUUCCCUCUGUGGAACCCCAUGCCCUUCACUGGGUGUGGCGGGGAAACAGGACUUUUACUGUGAAAAAAUUAGAGUGCUCCAGGCAGGCCUAUGCUCGAAUACAUUAGCAUGGAAUAAUAGAAUAGGACGUGUGGUUCUAUUUUGUUGGUUUCUAGGACCGCCGUAAUGAUUAAUAGGGACAGUCGGGGGCAUCAGUAUUCAAUUGUCAGAGGUGAAAUUCUUGGAUUUAUUGAAGACUAACUACUGCGAAAGCAUUUGCCAAGGAUGUUUUCAUUAAUCAGGAACGAAAGUUAGGGGAUCGAAGACGAUCAGGUACCGUCGUAGUCUUAACCAUAAACUAUGCCGACUAGGGAUCGGACGGUGUUAUUUUUUGACCCGUUCGGCGCCUUACGGGAAAC